CUGAAACCAUGCGCCUACAAGCGGUCAGAGCCCCGAGAUGGGGUGAUGGCGUACCUUUUGUAUAAUGGGUCAGCGACUUAGUCUGGCGAGCAAGCUUAAACCGGUAGGUGUAGGCGCAGCGAAAGCGAGUCUGAACAGGGCGUUCAGUUCGUCGGAUUAGACCCGAAACCGAGUGAUCUAGCCAUGAGCAGGUUGAAGGUGCAGUAACAUGCACUGGAGGACCGAACGGGUGCCUGUUGAAAAAGGCUCCGAUGACUUGUGGUUAGGGGUGAAAGGCCAAUCAAACUCGGAAAUAGCUGGUUCUCCGCGAAAGCUAUUUAGGUAGCGCCUCGAAUGAAUACCGUGGGGGGUAGAGCACUGGAUGGGCUAGGGGGACUUACCGUCUUACCAAACCUAACCAAACUCCGAAUACCCACGAGUACUGUUCGGGAGACACACGGCGGGUGCUAACGUCCGUCGUGGAGAGGGAAACAACCCUGACCGACAGCUAAGGUCCCCAAGUCAUGGCUAAGUGGGAAAGGAUGUAGG
rnacentral:rRNA from 1 species